rnacentral:tRNA from 1 species
GUUAAGGUGGCAGAGCCCGGCAAAUGCAAAAGUCCUAAGCUCUUUCGAUCAGGGGUUCAAAUCCUCUCCUUAACU